rnacentral:rRNA from 1 species
UACGGAGGGUGCGAGCGUUGUCCGGAAUCAUUGGGCGUAAAGGGCGCGUAGGCGGCCGUCCCAAGCGUGCGGUGAAAGUCAGGGGCUCAACCCCUGAUCGGCCGUGCGAACUGGGGGGCUCGAGCACUGUAGAGGCAGGCGGAAUUCCGGGUGUAGCGGUGGAAUGCGUAGAUAUCUGAAGGAACACCAGUGGCGAAGGCGGCUUUCUGGCCUAUUCUUGACGCUGAGGCGCGAAAGCUAGGGGAGCGAACGGG